UACGGAAGGGGCAAGCGUUGUUCGGAAUCAUUGGGCGUAAGGGGCGCGUAGGUGGUUCUGUAUGUCUACCGUGAAAGCAUACAGCUCAACUGUAUUUUGUCGGUAGAAACUGCAGGACUUGAGGCUGGGAGGGGCUGGUGGAAUUCCCUGUGUAGCGGUGAAAUGCGUAGAGAUGGGGGAGAACACUCGUGGCGAAGGCGGCCAGCUAGACCAGUUCUGACACUGAGGCGCGACAGCGUGGGGAGCAAACAGG
rnacentral:rRNA from 1 species